AAUGAACGUUGGCGGCGUGGAUUAGGCAUGCAAGUCGAGCGAGAACCCGGCAAGGGGGGACAGCGGCGAAAGGGACAGUAAUGUGUAGAUUAUCUGCCCUCAGGUCCGGGAUAGCUGCGGGAAACUGCAGGUAAUACCGGAUAGCAUCUCCGGAUCAAAGGUGUGAUUCCGCCUGAGGAUGAGUCUGCAUCCUAUUAGCUAGUUGGUGGGGUAAUGGCCUACCAAGGCAUUGAUGGGUAGCAGGUGUGAGAGCACGACCUGCGUCAUUGGGACUGAGACACUGCCCAGACACCUACGGGUGGCUGCAGUCGAGAAUCUUCGGCAAUGGGCGCAAGCCUGACCGAGCGACGCCGCGUGUGGGAUGAAGGCCUUCGGGUUGUAAACCACUGUCAGAGGGGAUGAAAUGCAGGUGGGUUCUCCCAUCUGUUUGACAUAGCCUCAGAGGAAGGACGGGCUAAGUUCGUGCCAGCCGCCGCAGUAACAC
rnacentral:rRNA from 1 species